rnacentral:rRNA from 1 species
CUACGGGAUGCUCCAGUGAGGAAUAUUGCACAAUGGGGGGAACCCUGAUGCAGCAACGCCGCGUGGAGGAUGACGCAUUUCGGUGUGUAAACUCCUUUUAUAUGUCAAGAAAAUGACGGUAGCAUAUGAAUAAGCACCGGCUAACUCCGUGCCAGCAGCCGCGGUAAUACGGAGGGUGCAAGCGUUACUCGGAAUCACUGGGCGUAAAGGACGCGUAGGCGGGUUGGAAAGUCAGGUGUGAAAUCCUACAGCUUAACUGUAGAACUGCACUUGAAACUUCUAAUCUAGAGUAUGGGAGGGGGAGGUGGAAUUAGUGGUGUAGGGGUAAAAUCCGUAGAUAUCACUAGGAAUACCUAAAGCGAAGGCGAUCUCCUGGGACAUUACUGACGCUAAGGCGUGAAAGCGUGGGGAGCAAACAGGAUUAGAUACCCCGGUAGUC